GAGUUUGAUUCUGGCUCAGAUUGAACGCUGGCGGCAUGCUUUACACAUGCAAGUCGGACGGCAGCACAAAGAAGCUUGCUUCUUGGGUGGCGAGUGGCGAACGGGUGAGUAACGCAUCGGAACGUACCGAGUAGUGGGGGAUAACUGUCCGAAAGGAUGGCUAAUACCGCAUACGCUUUGAGAAGGAAAGCGGGGGAUCUUCGGACCUCGCGCUAUUCGAGCGGCCGAUGUCUGAUUAGCUGGUUGGUGGGGUAAAGGCCUACCAAGGCGACGAUCAGUAGCGGGUCUGAGAGGAUGAUCCGCCACACUGGGACUGAGACACGGCCCAGACUCCUACGGGAGGCAGCAGUGGGGAAUUUUGGACAAUGGGCGCAAGCCUGAUCCAGCCAUGCCGCGUGUCUGAAGAAGGCCUUCGGGUUGUAAAGGACUUUUGUCAGGGAAGAAAAGCUUGAGGCUAAUACCCCCUUGAGUGAUGANCGUACCU
rnacentral:rRNA from 1 species